AUAGUUCAACUGUUUGUGAUUCC
rnacentral:siRNA from 1 species